rnacentral:rRNA from 1 species
CUGAACCAGCCAAGUAGCGUGAAGGAUGACUGCCCUAUGGGUUGUAAACUUCUUUUAUAAAGGAAUAAAGUCAGGUAUGCAUACCCGUUUGCAUGUACUUUAUGAAUAAGGAUCGGCUAACUCCGUGCCAGCAGCCGCGGUAAUACGGAGGAUCCGAGCGUUAUCCGGAUUUAUUGGGUUUAAAGGGAGCGUAGAUGGAUGUUUAAGUCAGUUGUGAAAGUUUGCGG